GGCGAAAUUGAUGCCGGUUUUACAGGAGUCAAUAGAGGAGGAAUAGAGUAGAUAGCGGUGAGUGACCAGGGCAGAGGGCCGAGGGGCCGUACAAUGACUGAGGGCAGAGUCCCGGGCAAAAUAACCUUAGGCUGAUUGUUCCUUGGAUUGUUCCUUAAGGCAAAGUGCAAUAAACAGUUCAUCCGUCAGGCGUUCAUCCAAAGACUUUUGCAUAAUAUAAAUUUAUUGUACAUAGUGUACGUAUGUAUACGUACGGAUAUCUGGCUGUGAUAUGUUGUUUUAAUAAACAGAUUUUGUUU
rnacentral:misc_RNA from 1 species